AUAAAUUUUAUGACAAUUGUUAACUUUUAAGAGUGAAAUAUACCGAAUUUACAGGGUUCAGACGUCUGUGCUUGUAAUUACCAAAUAUUUAUGAUAGUGGCUACAUUUACAUUAUGACCUUCAGCUAAACCAGGAUCCGUGACAUCCAAUUUCCAUCAUCCACAGUCCUGCAGCCAGCGCCCAGGGGGUUCCAAGAUUUGUCACUGCAAUGGAGAAGUAUCUUG